AUGCACAAGGAAUGCACUGUCCUGGGCUCUGUGGGGUCACAAUACAAAACAAUUGCAUUUUAUGGGAGAAGUGCAUUCCCAAGUGCUGAUGGAAUUCAAGGCUAAACUUGACAAAGGAUGGCAGGUGGCUUGAGGCAAUUGACAAAGCAGCCCAUCUUGUCCGCCAGAGCCAUGUCUGGGAAGAUGUUACUCUGCACAACAGUAGCCUCCCACCUCUGGCUAUCAAGAACCCAGGGUGUCUGGGUCUUCUGCACCAGCUGGAUAUAAACACAGACAUGUGGGUCCUGCACUAUUGCAUCUUGAAAGGACGGUUACUUGUAUUUCCAUGCUAACAAUCACUCUACCCAAGCCUCAGGUGGUCUAUAUCUGCAAGGAUAUAGGGUGAGUGAACAGACCCUUAGUUCCAAACAAUUAGUAAUUGAACUCUAGCCUCCAUCCAAAGAGUUCAAGACUUUCUGUUUCUGUGUGGAAAAUGAAACAGAAAACCAAUGCUGGAUUACAGCUCUGAAAGCAUCUAUCAAAAAAAUGGCUUCCUUUGCAUUAGGCUAUUCAAGACUUCAUGAAUUGACCUCUAGAACAAACCAAAAUGCGAAAGAGACCCUAACUCUUAAAAGGAUCUAAAAAAUCAUCACCAACUUGUAGAAACAAACAAAAUGUAUAUCAUUAUAUAACUUUUCAAAUGAAUGUUCCUCCAAUGUAUUAAAACUGUGUGAUGAGAUU
rnacentral:sRNA from 1 species